rnacentral:rRNA from 1 species
AGUGAACGCUGGCGGCAGGCCUAACACAUGCAAGUCGAACGGCAGCACAGCAGUAGCAAUACUGUGGGUGGCGAGUGGCGGACGGGUGAGGAAUACAUCGGGAUCUACCUUUUCGUGGGGGAUAACGUAGGGAAACUUACGCUAAUACCGCAUACGCCCUACGGGGGAAAGCGGCGGACCGCAAGGCGUCGCGCGAUGAGAUGAACCGAUGUCCGAUUAGCUAGUUGGCGGGGUAAAGGCCCACCAAGGCGACGAUCGGUAGCUGAUCUGAGAGGAUGAUCAGCCACACUGGAACUGAGACACGGUCCAGACUCCUACGGGAGGCAGCAGUGGGGAAUAUUGGACAAUGGGCGCAAGCCUGAUCCAGCCAUGCCGCGUGGGUGAAGAAGGCCUCGGUGUAAGCCUUUGUCCGAAGAAAGACACGGAGUAAUACCUCGUGUGAUGACGGUACCGGAAGAAUAAGCACCGGCUAACUUCGUGCCAGCAGCCGAC